rnacentral:rRNA from 1 species
GACGAACGCUGGCGGCGUGCUUAACACAUGCAAGUCGAACGAAGUGGCGAACGGGUGAGUAAUACGUGAGUAACCUGUCCUCCUUUUUGGGAUAAGCCUUGGAAACGGGGUCUAAUACCGAAUAAAGGGGGAUGGGCUCGCGGCCUAUCAGCUUGUUGGUGGGGUGAUGGCCUACCAAGGCGGUGGCGGGUAGCCGGGCUGAGAGGGUGACAGGCGACAUUGGAACUGAGCUACGGCCCAGACUGAUACGGGAGGGGGCAGUGGGGGAUAUUGGGCGAAGGGCGAAAGCCUGAUGCAGCGGGGCAGCGUGGGGGAUGAAGGCUUUCGGGGUGUAAACCUCUGUCGCUAUCGAGCGGGUAGGUGGAGAAGAAGCGCCGGCUAACUACGUGCCAGCAGCCGCGGUAAUUC